UCCUGUAUCGAAAGUGGCUGUGGGGUGACGUGUCUCCAGGUCAUUGAUAAUACAGGAAGAGAAAACCGAAAGUCUUUCCCGUGUUUGCUGGAUGUUGUUCCUGACAAACCCUGAAUCUUUCACACA